GGAGAGAUACCCAAGUGGUUGAAGGGUCCGGUCUUGAAAACCGGUAGCAGGUUUGUCCCUGGCGUGGGUUCGAAUCCCACUCUCUCCGCCA
rnacentral:tRNA from 1 species